rnacentral:tRNA from 2 species
ACUUAUAUAGUAUAAAAAUUACAUUUAACUUCCAAUUAAAAAAUCUAAAAUAUAGUAUAAGUA